UGACGAGUCCCAAAUAGGACGAAACGCGCUUC
rnacentral:hammerhead_ribozyme from 1 species